GACGAACGCUGGCGGCGUGCUUAACACAUGCAAGUCGAACGGUAAGGCCCUUCGGGGUACACGAGUGGCGAACGGGUGAGUAACACGUGGGUGAUCUGCCCUGCACUUCGGGAUAAGCCUGGGAAACUGGGUCUAAUACCGGAUAGGACCACUGCCUGCAUGGGUGGUGGUGGAAAGCUUUUGCGGUGUGGGAUGGGCCCGCGGCCUAUCAGCUUGUUGGUGGGGUGAUGGCCUACCAAGGCGACGACGGGUAGCCGGCCUGAGAGGGCGACCGGCCACACUGGGACUGAGAUACGGCCCAGACUCCUACGGGAGGCAGCAGUGGGGAAUAUUGCACAAUGGGCGCAAGCCUGAUGCAGCGACGCCGCGUGAGGGAUGACGGCCUUCGGGUUGUAAACCUCUUUCAGCACCGACGAAGCGCAAGUGACGGUAGGUGCAGAAGAAGGACCGGCCAACUACGUGCCAGCAGCAGCCGCAG
rnacentral:rRNA from 1 species